rnacentral:tRNA from 1 species
GGAGAUAUAGUUCAAUGGUAGAACAAUAGGCUUUUUAAGCUAUAGAAGUAGGUUCGAUUCCUACUAUCUUCU